ACCUGACUGCUAUCGGAUUGAUACUAAGCCAUGCGAGUCAUUGUAGCAAUACAAGGCAUACGGCUCAGUAACGCGUAGUCAACCUAACCUAUGGACGGGAAUAACCUCGGGAAACUGAGAAUAAUGCCCGAUAGAACACUAUACCUGGAAUGGUUUGUGUUCCAAAUGAUUUAUCGCCAUAGGAUGGGACUGCGGCCUAUCAGUUUGUUGGUGAGGUAAUGGCCCACCAAGACUAUUACAGGUACGGGCUCUGAGAGGAGUAGCCCGGAGAUGGGUACUGAGACACGGACCCAGGCCCUAUGGGGCGCAGCAGGCGAGAAAACUUUGCAAUGUGCGAAAGCACGACAAGGUUAAUCCGAGUGAUUUGUGCUAAACGAAUCUUUUGUUAGUCCUAGAAACACUAACGAAUAAGGGGUGGGCAAGUUCUGGUGUCAGCCGCCGCGGUAAAACCAGCACCUCAAGUGGUCAGGAUGAUUAUUGGGCCUAAAGCAUCCGUAGCCGGCUCUGUAAGUUUUCGGUUAAAUCUGUACGCUUAACGUACAGGCUGCCGGGAAUACUGCAAAGCUAGGGAGCGGGAGAGGUAGACGGUACUCGGUAGGAAGUGGUAAAAUGCUUUGAUCUAUCGAUGACCACCUGUGGCGAAGGCGGUCUACCAGAACACGUCCGACGGUGAGGGAUGAAAGCUGGGGGAGCAAACCGGAUUAGAUACCCGGGUAGUCCCAGCUGUAAACUAUGCAAACUCAGUGAUGCAUUGGCUUGUGGCCAAUGCAGUGCUGCAGGGNNGCCGUUAAGUUUGCCGCCUGNNNAGUACGUACGCAAGUAUGAAACUUAAAGGAAUUGGCGGGGGAGCACCACAAGGGGUGAAGCCUGCGGUUC
rnacentral:rRNA from 1 species